rnacentral:ribozyme from 1 species
AAAGGUUACAUAUUUGAAGCCAUAGUAGAAGCACUCAUGUCAUGGCCUGUCAGAUUCCAAUAAAUCUGCAAAUUCUGGU